AUACAUGCAGUCGAGGGGUAGCAGGAGAGCUUGCUCUCGCUGACGACCGGCGCACGGGUGCGUAACACGUAUGCAACCUACCUUCAACAGGAGGAUAGCCCCGAGAAAUCGGGAUUAAUACUCCAUAGUAUUGCGAUAUGGCAUCAUAUUACAAUUAAGACUUCGGUGGUUGAAGAUGGGCAUGCGGGACAUUAGCUAGUUGGUAAGGUAACGGCUUACCAAGGCUACGAUGUCUAGGGGUUUUGAGAGGAUGAUCCCCCACACUGGUACUGAGACACGGACCAGACUCCUACGGGAGGCAGCAGUAAGGAAUAUUGGUCAAUGGAGGGAACUCUGAACCAGCCAUGCCGCGUGCAGGAAGACGGCCCUAUGGGUUGUAAACUGCUUUUAUAUGGGAAUAAAAACUAUCUCGUGAGAUAGACUGAAUGUACCAUACGAAUAAGGAUCGGCUAACUCCGUGCCAGCAGCCGCGGUAAUACGGAGGAUCCAAGCGUUAUCCGGAUUCAUUGGGUUUAAAGGGUGCGUAGGCGGGUUUAUAAGUCAGUGGUGAAAUCCUACAGCUUAACUGUAGAACUGCCAUUGAUACUGUAGACCUUGAGUACAUGCGGAGUGGGCGGAAUAUGUCAUGUAGCGGUGAAAUGCAUAGAUAUGACAUAGAACACCAAUAGCGAAAGCAGCUCACUAGAAUGUAACUGACGCUGAUGCACGAAAGCGU
rnacentral:rRNA from 1 species